UACAGGGGGGGCAAGCGUUGUUCGGAAUUACUGGGCGUAAAGGGUCUGUAGGUGGCCAACUAAGUCAGACGUGAAAUCCCUCAGCUUAACUGGGGAACUGCGUCUGAUACUGGAUGGCUUGAGUGUGGGAGAGGAAUGCGGAAUUCCAGGUGUAGCGGUGAAAUGCGUAGAUAUCAGGAGGAACACCUGUGGCGAAAGCGGCUCACUGGACCAUAACUGACGCUGAUGCACGAAAGCUAGGGGGAGCAAACAGG
rnacentral:rRNA from 1 species